rnacentral:rRNA from 1 species
GGAUGCGAUCAUACCAGCACUAAAGCACCGGAUCACAUCAGAACUCCGAAGUUAAGCGUGCUUGGGCGAGAGUAGUACUAGGAUGGGUGACCUCGUGCUGCAUUCC